rnacentral:rRNA from 1 species
UACGAAAGGGGCUAGCGUUGUUCGGAAUUACUGGGCGUAAAGCGCACGUAGGCGGCCUUGUAAGAUGGGGGUGAAAUCCCCGGGCUCAACCCGGGAACUGCCUUCAUGACUGCAAAGCUAGAGGAUGCGAGAGGUUAGUGGAAUUCCGAGUGUAGAGGUGAAAUUCGUAGAUAUUCGGAAGAACUCCAGUGGCGAAGGCGGCUAACUGGCGCAUUUCUGACGCUGAGGUGCGAAAGCGUGGGGAGCAAACCGG